UGGGGAAUUUUGGACAAUGGGCGAAAGCCUGAUCCAGCCAUGCCGCGUGAGUGAAGAAGGCCUUUGGGUUGUAAAGCUCUUUUAGUCGGAAAGAAAGAGUUGCAAUGAAUAAUUGUGAUUUAUGACGGUACCGACAGAAAAAGCACCGGCUAACUACGUGCCAGCAGCCGCGGUAAUACGUAGGGUGCGAGCGUUAAUCGGAAUUACUGGGCGUAAAGGGUGCGCAGGCGGUCUUGCAAGUCAGAUGUGAAAGCCCCGGGCUUAACCUGGGAAUUGCGUUUGAAACUACAAGGCUAGAGUGCAGCAGAGGGGAGUGGAAUUCCAUGUGUAGCAGUGAAAUGCGUAGAGAUGUGGAAGAACACCGAUGGCGAAGGCAGCUCCCUGGGUUGACACUGACGCUCAUGCACGAAAGCGUGGGGAGCAAACA
rnacentral:rRNA from 1 species